GGGAAAAUAGAUGAAACCGUUAAAAUCAAUUUACUUAAUCUUAUUUGGCACUACGUGCAUAUUGAGAACGUAUGAUUUUUAUUCAAUCUUUGCGUUACUAGACUGUUCAAAAGAACGUGUUCAUUUAAUUAAUUUAGGGCAUAAAAUCUAUGAAAUCUUUCUUUGUGGGACAAACCGGUAAGUACCUAUACCUACAAUAUGAACCUAUUUUGAGAUUGGUUUUCUGAACCAAAAGUGUUUCAGUGCAUUAUUUAUGGCUUGAUUUCUGGAGCCGCGGUUGUUCAAAGCUGGGUUAGCUCAACCCUAGGUUAACCUAAAAUUCAAAGCAAACUUCCCAAGAGCUUGUUUAUAAAUUUGGAAAUAUUUCUUCAGAGAUGUUGUCUGAAUCAGGAGUUUUCUUGUCUGAAGUUGUGAAAUAAACAGACGUGCAGAAAUAUACAUAAACUAAAACUGCAGGUUAAAUUUUAACAAAGGGUUAGCGCUAACCCUUGCAGCUUUGAACAACUGCCCCCUGAAGAUAAUCGUCUCUUAUUCAUGCUCAACCAAUCACAAAGCCUGUUCAUAUCUAGCCUAUAUAGGUACAAACCAACCCACACAAACAGCUUUUUAAUCUGAGUUUUUCCAACAAUGCAUCACGAUUGCAGAUGGCGUCGUUAUUGAUGAAAGGGUUUAAUAAAGCAAAAAAUAAAAAGUAGUAUAUGUCAAAUAUUAACGUAAAUUAUAUUUUUCUAUGCACCGCUAGAAUAAUAACACUAAUAACAAUUAAAAGAAACAAUAUUGAUAUUGUAAUAAUAAAUUGAUAGCACAUAUGGCAUAAUAUAGACCAUUAGAUAUCCUAAGAAGGGGGGAGAGGAAAUAUGUCGAACAGGAUCAAAUUUAUUUAUAUAUAUAUAUAUAUAUGUUCGCUACUGGGGAGUUAGGCAAGUUAAAACAGCACCAGAUAAAACAUUAAGAAUUAAUACUUUUUGUACUUGAGCAAAA